CAAUAGCGUAUAUUUAAGUUGUUGCAGUUAAAAAGCUCGUAGUUGGAUUUCGGGUGGGACGCAGCGGUCUCGCAUUGCGUUUGUACUGCUGCAGCCCUCCUUCUUGCCGGGGGCGGCCUCUCGGACUUCACUGUCUGGGGGUCAGAAUCGGCGAUGUUACUUUGAGUAAAUUAGAGUGUUCAAAGCAAGCUUACGCUCUGAAUAUAUUAGCAUGGAAUAACACGAUAGGACUCUGGCUUAUCUUGUUGGUCUGUGAGACCAGAGUAAUGAUUAAGAGGGACAGUCGGGGACAUUCGUAUUUCAUUGUCAGAGGUGAAAUUCUUGGAUUUAUGAAAGACGAACUUCUGCGAAAGCAUUUACCAAGGAUGUUUUCAUUAA
rnacentral:rRNA from 1 species